GAUGAACGCUGGCGGCGUGCCUAAUACAUGCAAGUCGAGCGAACUGAUUAGAAGCUUGCUUCUAUGACGUUAGCGGCGGACGGGUGAGUAACACGUGGGCAACCUGCCUGUAAGACUGGGAUAACUUCGGGAAACCGAAGCUAAUACCGGAUAGGAUCUUCUCCCUCAUGGGAGAUGAUUGAAAGAUGGUUUCGGCUAUCACUUACAGAUGGGCCCGCGGUGCAUUAGCUAGUUGGUGAGGUAACGGCUCACCAAGGCAACGAUGCAUAGCCGACCUGAGAGGGUGAUCGGCCACACUGGGACUGAGACACGGCCCAGACUCCUACGGGAGGCAGCAGUAGGGAAUCUUCCGCAAUGGACGAAAGUCUGACGGAGCAACGCCGCGUGAGUGAUGAAGGCUUUCGGGACGUAAAACUCUGUUGUUAGGGAAGAACAAGUACGAGAGUAACUGCUCGUACCUUGACGGUACCUAACCAGAAAGCCACGGCUAACUACGUGCCAGCAGCCGCAGUAACAC
rnacentral:rRNA from 1 species